AGAUUUGUUUGGUGCAUGCAUGUUUAACAAUUUUACGAGUGUUAUAUGUAUUUCAUGUGAUUUCUACAAUGCUUCAUGAUCGUGUGCUUUCUUUUGAAUAAAUCACUGACAACUCAUCACUGCCAGCUUAUCAAAAUAGUUGUAAAGGAUUAGAUGAAGUAAUAGUUAGUUGAAAGAGUUAGUUAGAAUUUAUUACUCAAAACUUAUGAAUUAGUUCUUAUAUAUUUUAAUUGUAAACUGAUAGUAAAAUUAGUUCAUUGAGUUCAAUACAAAACCUUCAUUCAUUUUUUUUCUCACAUUUCUCCUCUCUAUAAAACUUCAUUUCUUGGUUUUAUAAUUGUUAACCUCUUCUACUUCUCCAAUGUAGUUAAAAUGGUAUCAAAGCCACCAAGCUCGCCCCAUGGAUUCUAGUGGUUCUAUUUUUCAUAAGAUUUCAUCGUCUUCUAGUUUUAUUUCUCUUCCAUUAAGUUCUUCAGUGCUUUUGUAAAUGUUCUGUAAUUACUGGGUAAAUUUUCCUUCUGAAUUUUGCGUAAAGAUUGUUGGUGAUAAAUGGGUCUUUGAAAUUGUGGUGUAAUCUAAAUGCAGUUAGUUAGUGGGUUCUGUUAAUUUCUUAUGUGCUUCCGCAAUCGUCAAAUAGAAGUGGGAAUUUUCGGUUCUUCAAUUGGGAAUUUUUUUUUUAGAUUUUCAUUGAGUUCUUCACCUCCUGAUACUAGGAAAGAAAAUGGGUUUUCAUGCAAAAUCAUAGAUCCAGUGGAAUGCCUUCAUCUUGGAGGGGCUCGUGAUGGUGGUCUACAACUUGGGGUUUGCUUUGGAAAUGGGUUUUGUUCCGGACAUGGUGCCAUGUUAGGAAUAACACCCGGUCAUCAAUUUAUGGUGCAUUUUCUUCGGUGCCUUCGAUAUAGUUCUUUCCUUUUGGUGGUGUGUUCUCUAAUCAGCUUUUUGAAUUAUAUUUUUUGAGACUUUGAUCCCUGAUCUGUUUUCCGAUGUGGAAGAAAGUUUACAACUUUAUGCAGUUCAAGUGUUUGACGAAAUGCUUAGUUCAAGAUUUUUUGUGAAGGUUAUGUUUUCAGUCCCUUUAUCUGAGAUUGAGGGGGGAUGUUGAAUAUAUCACUACCAACUCAUCACUGCCAGCUCAUCAAAACAGUUAUAAAGGAUUGGAUGAUGUAAUAGUUAGUUGAAAGAGUUAGUUAGAGUUUGUUACUCAAAGCUUAUGAGUUAGUCCUCUAGUCAGCUCUAUAUAGCUAUUGUAAGAUAGUAAAAUUAGUUCAUUGAGUUCAAUACAAAACCUUCAUUCAUUUUUUUUCUCACAUUUCUCUUCUUCCUGUAAAACUUCAUUUUUUUGGUUUUAUAAUUGUUCAUCUCUGCUACUUCCCCAAUGUAGUUAAUGC
rnacentral:lncRNA from 1 species